rnacentral:rRNA from 1 species
UACCAGCACCCCGAGUGGUCGGGACGAUUAUUGGGCCUAAAGCAUCCGUAGCCGGCCUUACAAGUCCUCCGUUAAAUCCAGCUGCUUAACAGAUGGGCUGCGGAGGAUACUAUAAGACUAGGAGGCAGGAGAGGCAAGCGGUACUCAGUGGGUAGGGGUAAAAUCCGUUGAUCCAUUGAAGACCACCAGUGGCGAAGGCGGCGUGCCAGAAUGCGCUCGACGGUGAGGGAUGAAAGCUGGGGGAGCAAACCGG